UCAGGAUGAACGCUGGCGGCGUGCCUAACACAUGCAAGUCGAGCGAGAAAUCGCUCAAUGAUCUUCGGGUGAUUGAGCGAUGGAAAGCGGCGGACGGGUGAGUAACGCGUAGGUAACCUGCCCCAUACAGAGGGAUAGCCACUGGAAACGGUGAUUAAUACCUCAUAACACCGGAAUAUCGCAUGGUAUACCGGUCAAAGUUUUUCGGUAUGGGAUGGACCUGCGUCUGAUUAGCUGGUUGGUGAGGUAACGGCUCACCAAGGCGACGAUCAGUAGCCGACCUGAGAGGGUGAUCGGCCACAUUGGAACUGAGACACGGUCCAAACUCCUACGGGAGGCAGCAGUGGGGAAUAUUGCACAAUGGGCGCAAGCCUGAUGCAGCAACGCCGCGUGAACGAAGAAGGCUCUUGGGUCGUAAAGUUCUGUUCUGAGGGAAGAAGAUCUGACGGUACCUCAGGAGAAAGCCCCGGCUAACUACGUGCCAGCCGCCGC
rnacentral:rRNA from 1 species